UACAAUUUCCGUCACGCUACCAGUUUUCUUCCCUUUCCCAUUUUGCCCUCCCACUCGCACCGGCCAGGCGACCACUCGCUCUCUCCCCAGUCGCUCCUCCCGAGCCCAGAUCGCUCGCCGGCCAGUCGCCAUCCACUCCCUCUCGUCGGUGUCUUCCUCACCGUCGUCUUGCUCCUCUACCACCCCGAUUCGUACCCCUAAGGCCCUAACCCUAUUAUCCCGCCUGCUCUUGGUCAAAGGUAACAUUUUUAGAGCCGAUGUGCUCUGUCCGUGGGCGGCGUUGCUCGAUCCAUGGGAGGCGGUGCUCUAUCCAUGGGCGACAGUGCUCGAUCUGUGCUGGAGCAGCGGAAGGAGGAGCGCAGUGCUGGAUUGGAGCAACGGGAGGAGGACGACGGUGCUGAAUUGGAGCAGCGGGAGGAGGACACCGGUGCUGGACCGGAGCAGCGGGAGGAAGAUGGUGGUGCUGGUCCGAAGCAGAGCGUCUCGGGGCUGGAGUUCGAGGCCUUCAUUCGGCAGCACAUCACCGCCGCCGAGGCCGAGGCCCAGCGGGGCAGGCGCGGCCAUGGACCAGACGACAGCGGGUUCGGCGAGCACGGGCGGGACGACGGCAUCUUCUUCCCUGGCGGUGGUGGCAGACCUCUGCUUCGGUGACUCGGUGAGCAGGAAUAGUUCAUGUGCCUAACUGAGUUUCCUCCUGUGCUCCAGCAGAACUCCCAGGAGCUGCAAUAGAGCAACGCCGGCCAAUUGUGGUGGUCCAAAGGCCUCCGGGCGCCAAACCACCACACAGUCCCGACGCCGACCAGCCAUCUCCGGUGGACAGAUGGACAAUGGUCAAUCCAAGCAAUUCUGAUCAAGUGGAGUAACACAAUGGGAGGACCCAUGUUGCUGCAACACUUCUGAUCAAUCCAAGCAAUUGAUCAAUCCAAACACAUACACCUGUUGGUCCCUGUUGCUGUUCACAAACAGAGCCCUGUUACAGGAGAACCCCUGUCGUUGUUCUUGCUCGAUUUGCUUGGUCCGUCAGUCACAAUUUGGAGGAAGCCAAAGCAGGAGAACCAGUGAGGAAGAGAGGCGCGACGAGGCGACCUGGCUGCUCGCCGACGAGGUCAAUUGGCCGGAUCCGGAGCUCCGGCGUUGGGAGGCUGAGGUGCUGGAGUCGCCGGCGCAGGAGUCGCACAGCAGGCGCGACGGGCAGGUGUCUGCAGGCGCUGGAGGCUGUGCUGCUACAGC